GGGAGAUGGAAUUAGUGGUGUAGGGGUAAAAUCCGUAGAUAUCACUAGGAAUACCGAAAGCGAAGGCGAUCUCCUGGAACAAUACUGACGCUAAGGUGUGAAAGCGUGGGGAGCAAACGGGAUUAGAUACCCCGGUAGUCCACGCCCUAAACGAUGAACACUAGUCGUCGGAAUGCUAGUCAUUUCGGUGAUGCACUUAACAGAUUAAGUGUUCCGCCUGGGGAGUACGGUCGCAAGAUUAAAACUCAAAGGAAUAGACGGGGACCCGCACAAGUGGUGGAGCAUGUGGUUUAAUUCGAAGAUACGCGAAGAACCUUACCUAGCCUUGACAUUGAUUGAAUACUUUAGAGAUAGAGUAGUGCCCUUCGGGGAACAUGAAAACAGGUGCUGCACGGCUGUCGUCAGCUCGUGUCGUGAGAUGUUGGGUUAAGUCCCGCAACGAGCGCAACCCUCGUCCUUAGUUGCCAGCAGGUUAAGCUGGGCACUUUAAGGAGACUGCCUUCGCAAGGAGGAGGAAGGUGAGGACGACGUCAAGUCAUCAUGGCCCUUAUGGCUAGGGCUACACACGUGCUACAAUGGGGCGUACAGAGAGUUGCGAUACCGCGAGGUGGAGCCAAUCUCAUAAAGCGUCUCUCAGUUCGGAUUGAAGUCUGCAACUCGACUUCAUGAAGCUGGAAUCACGUAGUAAUCGUAGAUCAGCAAUGGUACGG
rnacentral:rRNA from 1 species